rnacentral:rRNA from 1 species
UCCAGACUCCUACGGGAGGCAGCAGUGGGGGAUAUUGCACAAUGGGGGGAACCCUGAUGCAGCGACGCCGCGUGGGUGAAGGAGCGUUUCGGCGCGUAAAGCCCUAUCGGCAGGGAAGAAGGAGGACGGUACCUGACUAAGAAGCCCCGGCUAACUACGUGCCAGCAGCCGCGGUAAUACGUAGGGGGCAAGCGUUAUCCGGAUUUACUGGGUGUAAAGGGGGCGCAGACGGCAGCGCAAGCCAGGAGUGAAAGCCCGGGGCCCAACCCCGGGACUGCUCUUGGAACUGCGCGGCUGGAGUGCAGGAGGGGCAGGCGGAAUUCCUGGUGUAGCGGUGAAAUGCGUAGAUAUCAGGAGGAACACCGGUGGCGAAGGCGGCCUGCUGGACUGCGACUGACGUUGAGGCCCGAAAGCGUGGGGAGCAAACAGGAUUAGAUACCCGCGUACAC